rnacentral:lncRNA from 1 species
GGCACACACCACCAUGCCCGGCUAAUUUUUGUAUUUUUAGUAGAACCGGAAUUUCACCAUGUUGGUCAGGCUGGUCCCGAACUCCUCGCCUCAAGUGAUCCACCCGCCUUGGCCUCCCAAAGUGCUGGGAUUACAGGUGUGAGCCACCUCACCUGGCUCAAUGCCUGUUCUGAGCCCAGGACACCCGAGAACCAGACAGCAGACAGGGAGAGAGCAUCCAGCACUGACCUGGAGGAAAGGGCACAGAGGGUGCCGACGGCCACAGCAUAUCUGAUGGGGGCCCAUCCAAUGUGGACAAAAGCCUCCGGCAAGGGGUUCUCGGGACAUAUCAGGUAGUAGGGGCACUAUGAGGGUGAGCGCCGCUGAGACACCAAAAUAGGCCAAGAAGCAGAUGAAGAUCGAGGUCA